CACGACCAGUGCAACAGAGAGCAAACCGCCGAUGGCCCACGCAAGUGGGAUCAGGUAAGGGUGAAAGGGUGCGGUAAGAGCGCACCGCGCGGCUGGUAACAGUCCGUGGCACGGUAAACUCCACCCGGAGCAAGGCCAAAUAGGGGUUCAUAAGGUACGGCCCGUACUGAACCCGGGUAGGCUGCUUGAGCCAGUGAGCGAUUGCUGGCCUAGAUGAAUGACUGUCCACGACAGAACCCGGCUUAUCGGUCAGCUUCACUU
rnacentral:RNase_P_RNA from 1 species